AUUGAACGCUGGCGGCAGGCCUAACACAUGCAAGUCGCGCGAGCGGCGGACGGGUGAGUAAUGUCUGGGAAACUGCCUGAUGGAGGGGGAUAACUACUGGAAACGGUAGCUAAUACCGCAUACCAUCAGAUGUGCCCCGAUGGGAUUAGCUAGUAGGUGGGGUAACGGCUCACCUAGGCGUCGCUCCCUAGCUGGUCUGAGAGGGUGACCCGCCCCCCUGGCACGUAGACACGGUCCAGACUCCUACGGAAGUCAGCAGUGGGGAAUAUUGCACAAUGUGCGCAAGCCUGAUGCAGCCAUGCCGCGUGUGUGAAGAAGGCCUUCGGGUUGUAAAGCACUUUCAGCGGGGAGGCGUUACCCGCAGAAGAAGCACCGGCUAACUCCGUGCCAGCCGCCGCGGUAAUUC
rnacentral:rRNA from 1 species